GACGAACGCUGGCGGCGUGCUUAACACAUGCAAGUCGAACGGAGCGGAGAACGGGUGAGUAACGCGGGAGUAACUGCCCCCCUCUCUGGGAUAACAGAUGGAAACGGCUGCUAAUACCGGAUAGUGGGGGAUGACUCGCGUCCUAUCAGCUUGUGGGUGGGGUAGUGGCAGACCAAGGCGACGACGGGAAGCCGGCCUGGGAGGGCUGCCGGCCACAUUGGUCUUCGAUAGGGAGCAAACGCGAACAGGAGGCAGCAGUGGGGAAGAUUGUACAGGGGGGUAGUCCGUGAUGCGGAAGCGCGGGGGGGGGAAGACGGGCUAGGGGUUGUGAACCGCUUUCGGCUAUGACCCGGUAGUGGCAGAAGAAGCACCGGCUAACUACGUGCCAGCAGCCGCGGUAAUUC
rnacentral:rRNA from 1 species